UACGGGGGGGAGCAAGCGUUGUUCGGAUUUACUGGGCGUAAAGAGCUCGUAGGCGGUGUGUCACGUCGGCCGUGAAAACCUGCAGCUUAACUGUGGGCCUGCAGUGGGUACGGGCAGACUAGAGUGCGGUAGGGGAGACUGGAAUUCCGUGGUGUAGCGGUGAAAUGCGCAGAUAUCAGGAGGAAUACCGGUGGCGAAGGCGGGUCUCUGGGCCGUAACUGACGCUGGAGGAGCG
rnacentral:rRNA from 1 species